rnacentral:lncRNA from 1 species
GGCUAAGGAAAGUAAAAACUAUGUAAAGACUGCCUGACAGGGAAGUAAUCCACAUUUCCAGGAGGCCUACUGUAAUAAAGUCAAAUGCUAAAUAUAUGAAGAUUUAUGGCAUGUUAGCACAUUAUUACCACUCGUUAUAUUGCUAAGUCAGUCACGGAAAGUCAGUUCAGGGCCAGAAGGAAGUCAGUCCGUGGACACACUUAGCCUUCAGUUUGAAACUCUUGUACCUGCCAUAGUCACAGAAACCUUUGAGCGCUGGAAGGUCAGCGUCUACUGGACGUUAACCGUAGGACGUCAGCAGAUGUUGGCUGAGUAAGAACUUAGUAACAAUUUUCUGUUUAGACAACUUGUCCAAGUUUUCUGUAAUUGUCUUUAUAAUCCUACUAUUAUGAAUUUUGCCUGUUGAAGAAAUCAUUUAAUGACAUUACCGAAAUGGACGUUGUCUGGUAAGUUUUCAGAGAAUGAGAUAAAAUUCCAAAAAUGUAUUUCAGGGUGGAAUUUGAUAUGUUUGGUGUUCUCCUUCCUUCUCAGGGACACAUCUAGCUGUCUCAAGGGACAGGUGGCACCCAAGAGCCACAUAGGACAGGAAUACUCAGACUACUCAGACUGGUGCUCUAUACUUCUGAGAAUUAACUCAUCUUUCUGGGCACUGGAUACUGAACAAAAGCAAUGCCUGGCCUCAUCUGAACCCUGAAGAUGUAUUUUUCAUCCAAGAAAUUUUGGACUUCAAUAAGAGACGUGUUCUCCUGCAUAAUUACGUUGAUGGGGAAGUGAGCAUACAUAGACCUCAUCUUAUAAAGAAAGCCCCGUGUAGCACCCUUGAUCAUAUUUUGUAAUGACUACAGAAAAUGUGAACAGUAACCAAUUCCUUUCUGUUUUUCCACCAUUUGUCAGCCAGAGCCUCUUCUUUUUCUAUCCAAGAAGACUGAGUUUUAUAGUGAUGUGCUUGAAGUCCUUCUGCAGGGUUCUUUGGGAAUCUUCACAGUAACUGUGUAUCCCUUCCGAGGGAUGUCGACAUUUUCUGGAAUAGUUUAGUUGCUGAGACUGGUCUUCAUUCCCAUACCCAACGUGGCAAAGAACUCAUAUGUUUAUUUGUCAUCUCUAGGUCUUCUUUGGUUAGAUGUCUGUGAAGGUGUGAAGGUAUUUGGCUCAUUUUAAACUAGGUUGUUUAUUUUCAUAUUGUCAGGUUUUAAGAGAUCUUUGUAUAUUUUGGGUAAUAGUCCUUUAUCAGAUGUGUCUUUUACAAAGGUGUGCUCCCAGUCUCUGGGUUGUCUUCUCAUUUUCUUAACACUGCCUUCACAGUUUUGGGAGCACCUGGCUGGCUCAGUCAGUGGAGCAUGUGGUUCUUGAUCUUAGGGUUGAAACAUUGAGCCCCACAUUGGGUGUAGUGAUUACUCUAAAAAAUAAAAAUGAAAAAUUAAAAUAGUCACCCUUCUUGAUAAUAUUCAGAGAGUAGAAGUCGUUUUGUCUUCUUUUCUUUUUGGGAGAGAGAGAGAGAAGAGGGGCAAAGAGAGAGAGGGAGAGAGAGAGAGGAUCUUAAGCAGGCUCCAUGUCCAUUGUGGAGCCUGACAUAGGGGUCGAUGUAGGGCUCAGUCUCACAACCCUGAGGUCAUGACCUGAGCUGAAAUCGAGUCCAACUGCUUACUGACUGAGCCACCCAGGUGCUUCCAGAAGUUUUUAAUUUUAACAAAGUGCAGCUUAUCAAUGAUUUCUUUCACAGAUUGUGCCUUCGAUUUAUAUUUAAAAGUCAUUUCCAUGUCCAAGGUCAUCUAGAUUCUCUCCAAUAUGAUAUUCCAGUAGUUUUAUAGUUUGUGCUUUAUAUUUAGGUUUAUGAUCCAUUUCAAGUUAAUUUUUGUGAAGAUGUAAGGACUAUGUCUAGAUUAAUUCCUGGUAGUGAAUAAAUUGUUAUCUGGCUAGAUCACUUAAGAAUAAGAAAAAUGGAAGUUUUUAUUUUAUCUUCAGUAUUUCUUCUCUGAUGCUCUUCCUUUCUUUAUGUAAAUCUGAAUUUGUGGUCUGUAUUAUUCUCCUUUUUUAAAGAACUUCUUUUAACAUUUCUUGUAGGCAGGUCUAGGGUAAUACAUUCCCUUCAUUUUUGUUUGAAGAAAUCAUUAUUUCUCCUUUGGUUUUAAAUGCUAAUUUUGUAGGGUUCAGAAUUCUAGUAUGUUUGGCCUAGGCAGAUGGUCUAGCAUGAUUUCUGAGGAAAUGUCAAAUACAAUUCUUAUCUUUGUUCCUCUUUAGCUAAGAUGUCCCCCCUCUCCUGGCCCUUUUAAGGAUUUUUUUUCUUCACUUUUGAUUUUCUGUCAUUUGAAAAUGGUCUGCCUACAUGUAGGUUGUGGUUGUUAUUAUUUAUUUAUUUUUUGCAUGUAUCCUGCUUGGGGUCUCUGAGUUUCCCAGGGAAUAUGGUUUGGUAUCUGACAUGAACUUGGGAAAUUCCCAUUCAUUAUUGUUUUAAAUAUUUCUUCUAUUCCUUUCUCGAUUUUGUCUCUUUCUGGCAUUCUCAUUAUACUUAUGUUACACCUUUUAUAGCUGUCCCACAGUCCUUGGAUAGUCUCUUCUAUUUUUUCCAAUCUUUAUUCUUCGUUUCUCAGUUUUGGAAGUUUCUGGUGAUAUAUCAUCAAAUUCAGAGAUUCUUUCCUCAGCCGUGUCCAGUCUACUAAUAAGAGCCCAUUAGGGCAGCCCAGGUGGCUCAGCGGUUUAAUGCUGCCUUCAGCCCGGGGCCUGAUCCUGGAGACCUGGGAUCAAGUCCCACGUCAGGCUCCCUGCAUGGAGCCUGCUUCUCCCUCUGCCUGUGUCUCCGCCUCUCUGUCUCUCAUGAAUAAAUAAAUAAAAUAUUUUUUUUAAAAAAAAGAACCCAUCAGAGGUGUUCUUCAUUUCUUUUAUAGUGUGUGUGUAUGCGCGUGUGUGUGUUUCUCUAGCUUCUCUUUUUGAUUCUUUCUUAGGAUUUCCAUCUCUCUGCUUACAUUGCCCAUCCAUUCUUUCAUGUUGUCUGCUUAUCUGUUAGAGCCGAUCCUAGUUGUUUUAAAGUCCCAGUCGGAUAAUUCCAACAUCCCUACCACGUCUGGUUUGGCGGUUUGCCCUGUCUCUCCAAAACGUUUUUUUUUGGCUUUUACUAUGCCUUGUAAUUUUUUUCUUGAUAACUGGACAAGAUGUACCCAGUAAAAGGAUCUUCUGUAAAUAGGUCUUUAGUAAUGUGUGAGGUGUAGAGAGAGAGGGAGUGUUCCACAGUCCUAUGGUUAGGUCUCCAUCUCUUAGUGAGCAUAUGUGUCUGGAGUUUGAACUACACAAGUAUUGCUCAUGUGUUGUUUUUUCUUCACCUCCACCCCUUUAGGUGAGACAGGAUGGGCUAUCUGGAGCUGGGUAUGUCUCUUCUCCCAGGCCAGUUAGGCUCUCAUAAUACCUCAGCAGGUUAGUUUCUGGUUAAUUAGUUUCCCCUGUGGGCAGGUCUUGUUGAGAAUGGAGAGCUCUGGGGUAUUUCAAAAUGGUUCCAUUUCCUUCCUCCCUGCCGGAAGCCUAAGGGGAUUUUUCUUGGCUACUUACUGUGAGUACCUGGUCAAGUUCUUGGGAAUAAAACCCACAAAAGUUUGAGGCCGUCUCCAAAACUGGGUUCCCCUGUAGAUUUUAACUCUCAUACUUGCCCACGUUGAGCCUUUUAUACUUCACUAAUUACAGGUCAGGUUUUCCUACCCUGGCGCUGGGUCCCAUGGCGGUGUCUGCUCAAGAGUCUCUGCUCAGGUAAGCUGUGACUUCCUGUAUUUGCCCAUCUCUCCAAUAUUAGGGACAGUGGUUUGCCUUGUCCCCCCUCUAUUAUAUAUUCAGGAAGCAUUGUUUAUUUUUCAGUUUGUUCAGCUUUUUACUUGUUGGGACAGAAUUGUGAUUUCCAAGCUCCUUACGUACAGAACUGGAGACUGUGCUCCUGGGUUUCUUGCCCUGGCUGGAGAAAUUUGUGAGUCUCCAGGCUCCCUGGGGCCCAGGUGAGAUAGUAUGUGGUAUAUGUGGCCUUCCCCCUGACCAGCCAGACCUAGGG